rnacentral:rRNA from 1 species
AGUGGCGGACGGGUGAGUAACGCGUAAGAAUCUAACUUCAGGACGGGGACAACAGUGGGAAACGACUGCUAAUACCCGAUGUGCCGCGAGGUGAAACCUAAUUGGCCUGAAGAAGAGCUUGCGUCUGAUUAACUAGUUGGUGGGGUAAGAGCCUACCAAGGCGACGAUCAGUAGCUGGUCUGAGAGGAUGAGCAGCCACACUGGGACUGAGACACGGCCCAGACUCCUACGGGAGGCAGCAGUGGGGAAUUUUCCGCAAUGGGCGAAAGCCUGACGGAGCAACGCCGCGUGAGGGAGGAAGGUCUUUGGAUUGUAAACCUCUUUUCUCAAGGAAGAAGUUCUGACGGUACUUGAGGAAUCAGCCUCGGCUAACUCCGUGCCAGCAGCCGCGGUAAUACGGGGGAGGCAAGCGUUAUCCGGAAUUAUUGGGCGUAAAGCGUCCGCAGGUGGUCAGCCAAGUCUGCCGUCAAACCAGGUUGCUUAACGACCUAAAGGCGGUGGAAACUGGCAGACUAGAGAGCAGUAGGGGUAGCAGGAAUUCCCAGUGUAGCGGUGAAAUGCGUAGAGAUUGGGAAGAACAUCGGUGGCGAAAGCGUGCUACUGGGCUGCAUCUGACACUCAGGGACGAAAGCUAGGGGAGCGAAAGGGAUUAGAUACCCCUGUAGUCCUAGCCGUAAACGAUGGAUACUAGGCGUGGCUU